GGGCAUGUGGUGUAGUUGGUUAUCACGCUCGCUUAGCAUAUCGUUUGCGAGAGGGGUCCGGUUCGAUCCCGGACAUGUCCA
rnacentral:tRNA from 1 species